rnacentral:rRNA from 1 species
GACGUAGGGGGCAAGCGUUGUCCGGACUUACUGGGCGUAAAGCGCGCGCAGGCGGUCGUGUAUGUGGGGCGUGAAAGCGCCGGGCUUCCCCCGGCGAGGGCGUCCUACACAGCACGACUUGAGCCUCGGAGAGGUCGGUGGAAUUCCGGGUGGAGCGGUGAAAUGCGUAGAGAUCCGGAGGAACACCGGAGGCGAAAGCGGCCGACUGGCCGAGAGCUGACGCUGAGGCGCGACGGCGUGGGGAGCAAACGGG